AUUGAACGCUAGCGGGAUGCCUUACACAUGCAAGUCGAACGGAGUGGCGAACGGGUGAGUAAUGUACCGGAACGUGCCCAGUCGCGGGGAAUAACUACGCGAAAGCGUAGCUAAUACCGCAUACUAUUGGCGCGGCCUAUAUCGGAUUAGCUAGUUGGUUGGGUAACGGCUCACCAAGGCGACGAUCCGUAGCUGGUUUGAGAGGACGACCAGCCACACUGGGACUGAGACACGGCCCAGACUCCUACGGGAGGCAGCAGUGGGGAAUGUUGGAGAAUGGGGGAAACCCUGAUCCAGCCAACCCGCGUGUGCGAUGAAGGCCUUCGGGUAGGAAAGCACUUUUGGCAGGAAAGCGGUACCUGCAGAAUAAGCACCGGCUAACUACGUGCCAGCAGCCGCGGUAAUAC
rnacentral:rRNA from 1 species